rnacentral:misc_RNA from 1 species
GAAAGGCGAUACGUAGUGUGAAUUGCAGAAUUCAGUGAAUCAUAGAAUCUUUGAACGCACAUUGCGCCCUUUGGUAUUCCAAAGGGCAUGCCUGUUCGAGCGUCAUUUGUACCCUCAAGCUUUUCUUGGUGUUGGGCGUCUUUUUGUCUCUCCCCUUGUUGGGGGAGACUCGCCUUAAAACGAUUGGCAGCCGACCUACUGGUUUUCGGAGCGCAGCACAAAUUUGCGCCUUCCAAUCCACGGGGCGGCAUCCAGCAAGCCUUUGUUUUCUAUAACAAAUCCACAUUUUGACCUCGGAUCAGGUAGGGAUACCCGCUGAACUUAGGC